UUUCCGUAGGACCUUUGCACAGGUGCUGCAUGGCUGUCGUCAGCUCGUGCCGUGAGGUGUUGGGUUAAAUCCCGCAACGAGCGCAACCCUUAUCAUUAGUUGCCAACACGAAAGGUGGGAACUCUAAUGAGACUGCCUGGGUUAACCAGGAGGAAGGUGAGGAUGACGUCAAGUCCGCAUGGCCUUUAUAUCUGGGGCUACACACGUGCUACAAUGGUCGGUACAGAAGGCAGCAAGACCGCAAGGUGGAGCAAAUCCCUAAAGCCGAUCUCAGUUCAGAUUGUAGUCUGCAACUCGACUACAUGAAGUUGGAAUUGCUAGUAAUGACGUGUCAGCAAUAACGUCGUGAAUACGUUCCCGGGUCUG
rnacentral:rRNA from 1 species